rnacentral:tRNA from 1 species
GGGGGUAUAGCUCAAUUGGUAGAGCGCCGCCUUUGCAAGGCGGAUGUUAGCGGUUCGAGUCCGCUUAUCUCCA